rnacentral:rRNA from 1 species
CCCUUAGAUGUUCUGGGCCGCACGCGCGCUACACUGACGAUGGCAACGAGUUUUUCCUUCGCCGAAAGGUGUGGGUAAUCUUUUGAAACAUCGUCGUGCUGGGGAUAGAUCAUUGCAAUUUUUGAUCUUGAACGAGGAAUUCCUAGGAAGCGCGAGUCAUCAGCUCGCGUUGAUUACGUCCCUGCCCUUUGUACACACCGCCCGUCGCUACUACCGAUUGAAUGGUUUAGUGAGGACUCCUGAUUGGCGCCGCCGCCCCGGCAACGGAGCAGCGGACUGCCGAAAAGUUGUUCAAACUUGAUCAUUUAGAGGAAGUAAAAGUCGUAACA